rnacentral:rRNA from 1 species
UACGUAGGCAGCAAGCGUUGUUCGGAAUUACUGGGCGUAAAGCGUGCGCAGGCGGCCUUCCAAGUCAGGGGUGAAAGCCCAGAGCUCAACUCUGGAAUUGCCUUUGAGACUGUGAGGCUUGAGUACGGGAGAGGUGAGUGGAAUUCCCAGUGUAGAGGUGAAAUUCGUAGAUAUUGGGAAGAACACCGGUGGCGAAGGCGGCUCACUGGCCCGAAACUGACGCUCAUGCACGACAGCGUGGGGAUCAAACAGG